rnacentral:rRNA from 1 species
UACAGAGGGUGCAAACGUUGUUCGGAAUUACUGGGCGUAAAGCGUGUGUAGGCGGCUUGGCAAGUCGGAUGUGAAAGCCCUGGGCUCAACCCAGGAAGUGCACUCGAUACUGCCGAGCUUGAGUACGAAAGAGGGUCGCGGAAUUCCCGGUGGUAGAGGUGAAAUCGUGAGAUAUCGGGAGGAACACCGGUGGCGAAGGCGGCGACCUGGUUCGAUACUGACACUGAGGUGCGAAAGCGUGGGGAGCAAACGGG